rnacentral:lncRNA from 1 species
UGUUUCUUCUCCCACGAUCGUGCCCUAGGCACGAUCGUAUAUGGUGGAUGGGCCCGGUCUUUUCGGGCCGGCCCGUCCACCCCUCUCUCUUUUUUUUUUCCUGGGUAUCACAUACUCUCUCCCUUAAAAAAAAUUUCGUCCUCGAAAUUAACUUACUUGAAGCCUCAAACUUUAAAAAUAUGCAUCCGUUAUAUCAUCCCCGAGAUCUCAAGUAGUCUCCCUCUCGGAGUACCUACUCACAAGAUUUUGACAUACAAAAAUCACAGCAUCUUAAAACUUGAUCCUUUCUAUUUACCACACGUAGUAAGUUCUUUUGGUAUCCUUCAAAAGAAUUCCAAACUC